rnacentral:rRNA from 1 species
UACGGAGGGGGCUAGCGUUGUUCGGAAUUACUGGGCGUAAAGCGCACGUAGGCGGAUUGGAAAGUCAGGGGUGAAAUCCCGGGGCUCAACCCCGGAACUGCCUUUGAAACUCCCAGUCUUGAGGUCGAGAGAGGUGAGUGGAAUUCCGAGUGUAGAGGGGAAAUUCGUAGAUAUUCGGAGGAACACCAGUGGCGAAGGCGGCUCACUGGCUGGAUACUGACGCUGAGGUGCGAAAGCGUGGGGAGCAAACAGG